UACAGAGGGUGCGAGCGUUAAUCGGAAUUACUGGGCGUAAAGCGUGCGUAGACGGUUAUUUAAGUCGGAUGUGAAAGCCCCGGGCUCAACCUGGGAAUUGCAUUCGAUACUGGAUAGCUAGAGUUCGGCAGAGGGAAGCGGAAUUUCCGGUGUAGCGGUGAAAUGCGUAGAUAUCGGAAGGAACAUCAGUGGCGAAAGCGGCUUCCUGGACCAGAACUGACGAUCAGGCUCGAAAGCGUGGGGAGCAAACAGG
rnacentral:rRNA from 1 species